ACGAGUGCAUUAUUUCGUACAAGUAUGAAGUAAAUUUGUGAUUGUGAAUGUCAGUACAAAUACAAAACAAUACCGUGCUUCCUUUCGUCGUGCAUGUGACUGUAGAUAUUUUGACCUCGGUGACCUCUAGUAAAAAGUGAAUAAAUCUGUCAAUGAUGACAUUCUCCUUCUCCGUCAAUGAUGAAUGACGAAUCUCUCCGGACUUGUGGAGCCACGAGGGGAUGUUAUGACGACUGGUUGAGUUUUGUUACCGGUUGUCAGCCCCUCCCUCCUGGACGCUUACAAUCGGUAGAACUAGGAAUGACCUCAUCUUCAGAAAUGACUAAAGUUGCAUGAUGGAAUUGGAAAACUGUUUGAAGGCGAUCAUUCUAUGAUUCUUGCAUUGAUUCUUGGUUCAAGAUCAUCAUUAGGCCUGCUGCCGUUCCUUUUUUGAGUUGCAUCGUUGUUGUCCGGAUAAUAAUCAGCCACCUGGUACUACAUACAAUGCUUCCGCUGAUAGUUUACAAACAAGGAGAAAACAUCGCAGCACUAAACAUUGUAUCUGCUCCAGAAUCGCCGACAUCAGCAUCAUCAUCAUCAUCAUCAGUCACUCAACAGUCCAGAAUGCCAAUCCCAUUGACGAGCGACGACUACGCUUCAAAUAUUCCUGUUUCGACGAUAGCAUCACUUCCGACCAUCGAUCUGGCCAAAAUUGUUGAACGAUCUUCGCGAUUGUCUUCGUUGAGCUGUCGUAAGAAAGAAAGACAAUGGUUACGCUGAUUUUGCUCAAGUCAUCGCCUGUUCGCAUUUAGAUAUUUAUCGUUGGUGUUCUGCUUAUGUAACAAUUUGGUGGUACGAGACGAGCCGAGUUUUCUGCCUUAUAGUCUGAAUCGUUCUUCUAUAUUUUGAUUGUUUGAUCGUCGUCGAAGAACAGUGACGAAGAACCAAUGAAGAUUUUGUAAUGUGUCAUCGAUUAAAACACCGCCGCCGGUAGAUUGAUUGCGCAGCUGAGAACGAAUAGAAAUGCGAACGGAAUAAUUGUAUCGGAUUAUAAUUUACGUAACUCGAGAACGAAAAGAAAUACGAAUAGAAUCGUUCCAGACUGUGACCAGAUGAAUGGAAAAUGCCUCGAUUUUUCCGAAAGAUUCGUACAGCACGUUAUUAUUCGUUGUAUUUUAUUAUCUUGUGUAAUAUGUUCGUAGGUAGGUCUAGGUAUUACCUACCUAUACUUGUAUGUCUUGUAUGUAUCGUUCGUUUUGAUAAUUUUGUGAUAGAAUUACGCGUUGAUCACCCUUUGCCCCUCCCCUCUUUUGUUCGCAAUGUAUGUAAUUAUUUCCGAAUGUGGCAACUAUGUCAUUUGUUUCGUUUUGAUAUUUUUGGAAAUUUUCUUGUUUAGCCAUCGCGUUAUACCGUAGAUUUUAUUCAAUGAAUUGAUAACGAUGACUCCUCCCUGCACGAAUUUAUUUUGAAUCGUUUACUUGAAAUAUCUAAUAAUGGGUUAACGUUUUUUUCUGACUUUCCCCCCCCCUCCUCCUCCUCCUCCUCCUCCUCCUCCUCAACGAAUUGCUUGCUUCGCGUUUGUGACUCUGGUGGAUAUUUUAUUGCAUUUUUUUUUCUGAUUCGAUUGUACGUAGGUAUGAUUCGUUCGCGGAAAUCGGUCUUCGUCGUUCGUUUUUUCUGAUUUUGAACUUUAAGAGUGUUAUUUACGAAAGCAGGGGUUGAAAAAUUUUUGGUGGUUGGUACUUAGGUAGGUGAAGGUGUUUCGCCGGUUAUUCGAACUAAUUGUCGUCAUUAAUCUCGGUAUUGUGACGUCAAUUAGUUCGGAUGGUCGUCGAGGCAAAUAGCCUUCAUUUUAAACGUCAAUGUUGUCAAGUAUCAUGUUUACAUUAUACUUGCCAGCAUUGGUAUGACCUGAGGAUUCUGAUAAAGAUGUGGCGCGACUGUCCUCGGAGUCCGAGAAUACGGCAGCAAGUCAGCUUUAGACACGAAUCCGAGGGUGUGGUGGUGGCGCUGUUACCAAUUCGGUCCUUCUGCCAGGUAAUCGGUGGUCAUCACGACGCAGGUGUUCUGCAGUCUUCAUCUCAGCUGAGACAGGCACGCUGAAUGAGACGUUAUGACAGAACGUGUCGCUGGGUUGUGGAUUUUUUGGCUAGUUAGGGUAUCGUACUGGUUGCAGUUCGUAACAAUUUUUUUCCAGGUGUGUGAUAGUUGCAUGUAGCGUUGGUGGUGAGUUUAUUUGGUGUGCAGAUAGAGAUGUUUUGAGGAGUGCUGGUGGAGAGUUUAUUUUGUGUGCAGAUAGAGGUGUUUUGAGGAGUGCUGGUGGUGAGUGUUUCAUGUAGGGAGUAGGGAAUACGGUUGUGGCCGGUCUUGUCAAGUUCUGUCCGUUCUUGCCUGUUAAGCAUCAACCCACAACCGUACUUUUUCCACUCUCGCGACAACUUGGCGUCGUGUCCCUUGAAAAUUGUUUACUUUCUGAUAGCAUGGCGCCUACCUUAGCCAUUGGCGUAGUUCUGCACUCGCGAAUCCACGUACGUACUCGCGCGGCGUAUCGUGGAGUCCUCUGUAUUCGGCCGGUACGGAGCUGAUCAGCUGGAUUUCAUGCAGCAUCUACGAAAAGUUAGUGGAAACGCAUCCGCGGUUCACGGGCUCUCGCUCAGGUUCCGCCAUUGUGGUCAUCAAAGCCGUAUGGUGUUGGGGGAGCGUUAUUCGGCGACUUGUCUGCUAUCGUGCUUCGGCACAGCGGCCUGCUCAAUGGUGACGUAGUCCCCUGGCUCACCCCUGCGACGCUCAGUGGGGUCGUCAUUUAACGGCGGCUUCGACUGUAUAUCCAAGUCAAAAUAAGGGGUUGUCAUAAGAGGUUAUGACUCUUACGGUGGAAACGUUUGCGUUUCAUUCUAGUGGUGCGAGCCGUGGCCUAUGACCAGCUCAAUCUGCGAACCUUACUUACGGGCUGAUAAGAUGUGAGCGGGGAUGGUUAAUAUCAGCCUAUCCUGCGUAACGGUAUUGCCAUUUGCCCGCCGUCUACGAUCAGUCCCGCCUUCAUCUGGAUCCCCAGAGAUUCGUCUCUCCGAUCCAACCCCACGCAGUACAGUGGUGCACUCUAGGUUUUGCAUCACUUGCUCGCGUGAGAGUGAGUUUGUUUGAGAGAGAAAUGUCGAAGGCUGACCUGGUCUCGUUGCGUCGGUCAACUUGCCAGGCAGGUGAGCGUGUGUGUAGCGUGUAUGGUGAUCUGGACCAAGUACGAUGUCUGGUUGUUAAUUGAAUUUGAGUUUUUUUAAAAUUUUUAUGAAAAAUUACGUAGUGGGGAUGUAAUUGUAAAUUAACGAUGAAGGGUAAUCGGUUGAAAUUUUCGCUAAAUCGGGUGGUUGUAAUAUUUGAAAAUCGUCGAAGUUGCGGAGUUGGUGUUUGAUGGGGUGUUGAAUAAUGAAAUUCUGUUAUGGAACGUGUUAUUUGAAGGGUUAUUACUUAAUUAGUUGGAUUUUACGAUACGAGCUGCAAUAUUUUGAGAAUUUCGCCGCGCGUUGAAAUGGAAAAUAUGGUUGAAAAUGUCGAAAAUUCGUAAUUUUGAGUAAAUUCGCGAUGAUAUGAGCAGAAAAGGUUCAUUUUCGAGGGUUACAAACGUGUAUUUUUGGGAGAAAAAAUUGGCGUACAGUUUUUACAGUUAUCUAUUUUGAAUGUUAGUACAAUAUUUUCCCACCUGUCCCUCCUCUUGUUUUUAUUAGCCAGGUAUUUUUUAUUUGAAUUGGGUGCAAUUUUUUCGUGGAUACCGAAAUGUUAAUCAGGUGAAAAGUAGCGGAAUAAUCAAAAUUUUAAUGAACCCUGAGCCCUCCCUCCCUCCAUUCCGAGCCCUUUACAUCUAUUUUGAAUGUUAGUACAGUAUUUUCCCACCUGUCCCUCCUCUUGUUUUUAUUAGCCAGGUAUUUUUUAUUUGAAUUGGGUGCAAUUUUUUUCGUGGAUACCGAAAUGUUAAUCAGGUGAAAAGUAGCGGAAUAAUCGAAAUUUUAAUGAACCCUAACCCCUCCCUCCCUCCCUUCAUUCCGAGCCCUACCUACUUAUCAUUAAGUCGUAAUUUUUUGGUACCGAAUUUGUUUUAUUAUUGUUGAAUCUAUUUAUAAUAUGUGUAUUUGUGCUUGAAAAUAAGUUUGUAAUCACUGUGUGAUUUUAAUCAUUGUUGAUUUGGUGCGCACCAAUAUUGUAUGUAUUGUAUUAUCAAUUUAUGUGAUGUUGUGAUGUAAUAUUGUACUGAUCGAUCAAGGUUUUUCACGUCGAGCGGCCGACGUGUUUUUUAGCCCAGAUCGAUCAUAUCUGUGUAGAAUUAGUGUACAUAUUUUUUUUUCUUCGCCGCUGAUUUGAUUGAUUUGAUUUUUGGUUG